rnacentral:rRNA from 1 species
CUAGACCUGAAAUCAGUCGAGGACACCCGCUGAAUUUAAGCAUAUUAUUAAGCGGAGGAAAAGAAAAUAACUAUGAUUCCCUUAGUAACGGCGAGUGAAGAGGGAGGUGCUCAAAGUGAAAAUCGUGGUACCUCUUAUGGUACCGCGAGUUGUAGCCUCUAGAGGCGUUACCAGUGGAGGGGCAGGUCUAAGUUUCUUGGAACAGAC